rnacentral:rRNA from 1 species
AUUGAACGCUGGCGGCAUGCUUUUACACAUGCAAGUCGAACGGCAGCGCGGGGGCAACCCUGGCGGCGAGUGGCGAACGGGUGAGUAAUGCAUCGGAACGUAUCCUGUAAUGGGGGAUAACGUAGCGAAAGUUACGCUAAUACCGCAUACGCUCGAGAGAGGAAAGUGGGGGAUCGCAAGACCUCACGUUAUAGGAGCGGCCGAUGUCCCGAUUAGCUAGUUGGUGGGGUAAAGGCCUACCAAGGCGACGAUCGGUAGCUGGUCUGAGAGGAUGAUCAGCCACACUGGGACUGAGACACGGCCCAGACUCCUACGGGAGGCAGCAGUGGGGAAUUUUGGACAAUGGGCGAAAGCCUGAUCCAGCCAUGCCGCGUGCGGGAAGAAGGCCUUCGGGUUGUAACCUCUGUCCUUCGGUGUAAGAACAAAUAGACGGUAGCCGAGGAGGAAGACCGACGGCUAACUACGUGCCAGCAGCCGCGGUAGAGUCACGUCG